AACGAACGCUGGCGGCAUGCCUAACACAUGCAAGUCGAACGAGACCUUCGGGUCUAGUGGCGCACGGGUGCGUAACGCGUGGGAACCUGCCCUUAGGUUCGGAAUAACUCCCCGAAAGGGGUGCUAAUACCGGAUAAUGUCUUCGGACCAAAGAUUUAUCGCCUUUGGAUGGGCCCGCGUUGGAUUAGCUAGUUGGUAGGGUAAAAGCCUACCAAGGCGACGAUCCAUAGCUGGUCUGAGAGGAUGAUCAGCCACACUGGGACUGAGACACGGCCCAGACUCCUACGGGAGGCAGCAGUGGGGAAUAUUGGACAAUGGGCGAAAGCCUGAUCCAGCAAUGCCGCGUGAGUGAUGAAGGCCUUAGGGUUGUAAAGCUCUUUUACCCGGGAUGAUAAUGACAGUACCGGGAGAAUAGGCUCUGGCUAACUCCGUG
rnacentral:rRNA from 1 species